CCUACGUAAACUUUUCUUUCAGUCCAUUGCUCAAAUAGCACCACAACUUUGAGCUCCUCUAUUGUUGUUUUAAUGUUCUCAUUUUCUUCAGGUUCUUGAAUUAUAUCCGGUCUCGAGUCUAAAUCAGUUUUUUCUUGUUCAGUCGAAGUUUGAUUGUUGACACCUCCAACUGUUUCCUGUAAUUGCUAUUUUUCUUUACUUACGAUGCUCAUAUCUGCUACGGCAUUGAUACUCUUAGCUGCUUGUUAAUCCCCUCGAAUUUGACAUAUUCCCCAGGGCGAUGGGAACUUAAUAACGUGAUGCAAAGUUGAUUGAACAACAUUCAUAUCAUGGAUCCAUGGUCUCCCGUCAUUAUGUUGUAGGUCAUAUCUAUAUCAACUAGCAGAAAUUUAGUUUCUUUAACAAUACCUGCAGCAAAGAUUGUUAGAAUUACCUCAGCUUUGGUUACCGUGCUUAAAUUGUCAAAGGCUGACAGAGUAUGCGCCAUGAGUAUCAUUUUAUCUUCAGCUUUCAUUUCCCGCAAUACUCUUAGUAGAGUGAUGUUUGCAGAACUUCCUGGAUCAAUCAAAACUCGUUUUACAUCAGUAUCAUGUAUAAGUAAGGAAAUU
rnacentral:lncRNA from 1 species